rnacentral:rRNA from 1 species
AGUGAACGCUGGCGGUAGGCCUAACACAUGCAAGUCGAACGGCAGCACAGUAAGAGCUUGCUCUUACGGGUGGCGAGUGGCGGACGGGUGAGGAAUACAUCGGAAUCUACUUUUUCGUGGGGGAUAACGUGGGGAAACUUACGCUAAUACCGCAUACGACCUACGGGUGAAAGCAGGGGAUCUUCGGACCUUGCGCGAUUGAAUGAGCCGAUGUCGGAUUAGCUAGUUGGCGGGGUAAAGGCCCACCAAGGCGACGAUCCGUAGCUGGUCUGAGAGGAUGAUCAGCCACACUGGAACUGAGACACGGUCCAGACUCCUACGGGGGGCAGCAGUGGGGAAUAUUGGACAAUGGGCGCAAGCCUGAUCCAGCCAUACCGCGUGGGUGAAGAAGGCCUUCGGGUUGUAAAGCCCUUUUGUUGGGAAAGAAAAGCAGCAGGUUAAUACCCCGCUGUUCUGACGGUACCCAAAGAAUAAGCACCGGCUAACUUCGUG